CCAUGGCCGAGACCGAGGAGUGGAGCCUGGACAACUUCUUCACCAAGAGGGACAAGAAGAAGAAGGAAUGGAGCAGUCGGGCUGCCAAUGCGGCGAGCAGCACGGACGGGAGCAGCGCGUAGGCGGGCUCCAAGCCGGGUGAUGGCGGGAGCUUGGGCUCUGGUGCUAGGUCAGGAGACAGCAGGAGCGCGGGCCCUGCUGGCAAGGAUAUAAUGAAGGAUGAAAAUGAGUGGAAAGAAUUUGAGCAAAGAGAGGUUGAUUACAGCGGAUUAAGAGUUCAGGCAAUGCAAAUAAGUGAAAAGGAAGAAGAUGAUAAUGAGAAGAGAGAAGAUCCAUCUCUCUUUGGAAGAAGGUGGAGGUGGCAAUGGAGCAGAAAAAUCUUCAGGUCCCUGGAAUAAAACCAUUCCGGUACAGGCGCUUCCUUGCUCCAGUAACAGUUACAGAAACCCCGGAGCCAGCAAUGCCCAGUGGUGUAUUUAGGCCUCCUGGGGCAAGGCUAACCACAACAAGGAAAACACCACAAGGACCACCAGAAAUAUACAGUGACACACAGUUCCCAUCCCUGCACUCCACUGCCAAGCAUGUAGAGAGCCGGAAGGAUAAAGAAAUGGAGAAGAGCUUUGAAGUAGUAAGACACAAAAAUAGAGACAGGGAGGAUGUUUCAAAAAACCAGGCCCUUAAACUUCAGCUAGACAACCAGUAUGCUGUGCUUGAGAAUCAGAAGUACAGCCACACACAGUACAGC
rnacentral:lncRNA from 1 species